rnacentral:pre_miRNA from 1 species
UAUAAGAGAUUUUAAGUUUUUACUUGUAAUGUUUGACCACUCGUUUUAUUCAAAAAAAAUUUGACAUUAUUAUUUAUUUUAUUUGUGACUUACUUUAUUAUCUAUAGUACUUUAAGCACAACUUUUCAUUUUUUAUAUUUGCAAAAAAAAUUUGAAUAAGACGAGUGGUCAAACGUUGCAAACAAAAACUCA